rnacentral:snoRNA from 1 species
CCCCUCUCAAGGUCGCACCUGGAGAGUUUCCAGUGCUCUACCAGUCUCGACUACAGGAGGGAGAGUCAAGCAGUGGUAUAUCCAUUCCAUUCCUAGAAUGGGCAGUGGCUAGCGGGUGGAAGGCAAUCUGCUACAAGU